UGCAGAGAUUUGCUACACUGUUCUUUUGGCCUUGGGAUGGCAUACUUGUACAGCAUCUCUACAAUUGUUUCGAAAGAAGCAAAUUUCAUCAUGAUACAUACAAUAGUUAAAACUUAAACGUGGGAUUUUGAUGCUUUAACUUACACGGAAUCUGACGUCCCCAAAGAGGAACCAGACCUUUAUAGAGCCUGUAAAAGAAGACAACCAGAGACUUCGAAGUUAUUAGGAGGAAAAAAAAAAGUUUAUGUUGAUGGUGUAUCUGCAUUAUAUAAUUAGUUUCAUACCCAAGAACACCCUCAGACUUGACAAACUUUGGGAGCCCAUCUGACAACCCCCGAGCAAAACCAGGUUGCGUUUGGACGCGAACUUUGACGGCCUCCAUGGGGCAGAGAGCGACAUCGGCAAUUACUUCUGCAGAUGCUGAGCCAGCAAGGUAUAUGAAAGUUUUGUACUUGGCUGCAUUCUCUGCUCCAACUAUAUCAGAAUAGUACUUCUUGAAGAACUCGUAAAAUCCAAACUUGCACGCCCCCUGAGCACUGUAACCAAGCAACGUUGGCACCCAACCCCGGAAGAACCCUCUCACUCCCUGCUCCUUUAGCAGAAUUCCAAAACCAGACGAGAUGUUCUUGUACUUUGCAGGGUCGAUCUAAAAUUUGGGGUGUGGCCAAAAGAGAGCUAUUUUAAUUAUAACUGUUUUGUGGGUUGUGGGACAGACAUAAAAUGGCGUUGCCUUAAAGGUGGGAAGGAAGACUUGGAUAUUUAACAUCGAUAUUCAGAGUUUACCUGCAUAUUGCACUUGACGAGGUCGAGGGGGGUGACAGUCAUGUGGGUGAGUCCAC